rnacentral:rRNA from 1 species
UACAGAGGUCUCAAGCGUUGUUCGGAUUCAUUGGGCGUAAAGGGUGCGUAGGUGGCGCUGUAAGUCGGGUGUGAAAUUUCGGAGCUUAACUCCGAAACUGCAUUCGAUACUGCGGUGCUUGAGGACUGGAGAGGAGACUGGAAUUCAGGUGUAGCAGUGAAAUGCGUAGAGAUCAUAGGAAGACCAGUGGCGAAGGCGGGUCUCUGGACAGUUCCUGACGCUGAGGCACGAAGGCAGGGGAGCAAACGGGAUUA